rnacentral:rRNA from 1 species
UACGUAGGGUCCGAGCGUUGUCCGGAAUUAUUGGGCGUAAAGGGCUCGUAGGCGGUUUGUCGCGUCGGGAGUGAAAACACGGGGCUUAACCCCGUGCCUGCUUCCGAUACGGGCAGACUAGAGGUAUGCAGGGGAGAACGGAAUUCCUGGUGUAGUGGUGAAAUGCGUAGAUAUCGGGAGGAACACCAGUGGCGAAGGCGACUUCUUGGCCUGUUCUUGACGCUGAGGCGCGAAAGCUGGGGGAGCAAACGGG